rnacentral:rRNA from 1 species
UACGUAGGCAGCGAGCGUUGUUCGGAGUUACUGGGCGUAAAGAGUGCGUAGGCGGUUUUUCUAAGUUUGGUGUGAAAUCUCCCGGCUUAACUGGGAGGGUGCGCCGAAGACUGGAAGGCUUGAGUAUGGGAGAGGUAAGCGGAAUUCCUGGUGUAGCGGUGAAAUGCGUAGAUAUCAGGAGGAACACCUGCGGUGUAGACGGCUUACUGGACCAUCACUGACGCUGAGGCACGAAAAGCGUUGGGUAGCAAACAGG